rnacentral:rRNA from 1 species
CCUACGGGAGGCAGCAGUAGGGAAUCUUCCACAAUGGGCGAAACCCUGAUGGAGCAACGCCGCGUGGGUGAAGAAGGUCUUCGGAUCGUAAAACCCUGUUGUUAGGGAAGAAAGUGCGUGAAAGUAACUGUGCACGUUUCGCCGACAUCUAACCAGCAAGCCACGGCAAACUACGUUCCAGCAGCCGCGGUAAUACGUAGGUGGCAAGCGUUAUCCGGAUUUAUUGGGCGUAAGGGGAACGCAGCCGGUCUUGCAAGUCUGGUGUGAAAGCCGUGGGCUUACCCGGAGUAGUGCAUUGGAAACUGUGAGACUUGAGUGCAGAAGAGGAGAGUGGAACUCCAAGUGUAGCGGUGAAAUGCGUAGGUAUUUGGAGGAACACCAGUGGCGAAAGCGGCUCUCUGGUCUGUAACUGACGCUGAGGUUCGAAAGCGUGGGUAGCAAACAGGAUUAGAUACCCUAGUAGUC